AGACCCGAAACCCGGUGAUCUAGCCAUGGGCAGGUUGAAGGUUGGGUAACACUAACUGGAGGACCGAACCGACUAAUGUUGAAAAAUUAGCGGAUGACCUGUGGCUGGGGGUGAAAGGCCAAUCAAACCGGGAGAUAGCUGGUUCUCCCCGAAAGCUAUUUAGGUAGCGCCUCGUGAAUUCAUCUCCGGGGGUAGAGCACUGUUUCGGCUAGGGGGCCAUCCCGGCUUACCAACCCGAUGCAAACUGCGAAUACCGGAGAAUGUUAUCACGGGAGACACACGGCGGGUGCUAACGUCCGUCGUGAAGAGGGAAACAACCCAGACCGCCAGCUAAGGUCCCAAAGUCAUGGUUAAGUGGGAAACGAUGUGGGAAGGCCCAGACAGCCAGGAUGUUGGCUUAGAAGCAGCCAUCAUUUAAAGAAAGCGUAAUAGCUCACUGGUCGAGUCGGCCUGCGCGGAAGAUGUAACGGGGCUAAACCAUGCACCGAAGCUGCGGCAGCGACACUCAGGUGUUGUUGGGUAGGGGAGCGUUCUGUAAGCCUGCGAAGGUGGCCUGUGAG
rnacentral:rRNA from 2 species